CUCUGGGAGGGGGGAGGAGGAAGGCAAUAAAAGCACCAAAUGUCACCUGCAAAGUCAGCUGUGACAGAGGAGAGAGGCGAGGCCACGGAGAGUGUGGGAUGCCAACUCGGGGACGAGGCUGAUGAUUUACAACGAAAGAGAGAAAUCCUGUCCAGUGUCUCAGUGUCCCAUCGACCUGCGCAAGCUCAUCCUGCAGGCCUUUGCUUCGGUGUGAAUGCUUAACCACCGCCACCCGGCCGAGUGACCUUGGACGUCAGUGCCCCGGCGCGGUCACGGGCCCCUGGUCGGUGCCUUGCUGCUCCAUCUGCAAGAUCCGGUUUCCCAUGUGUGUGGAAAGAUGCAAAGUGAGGCAGCCCACGUACAGUAUGAUUAAAGAGCGCUGCGAGCGUGCCAAGUGCUAUAAAUAUGGAUAAUGUACCAUCUGAGAGGCGGCUGGGAAGACCGGGCCCCCUUCCCCCUGCCCUCGGGGCACUUGGCCUUGGAGGCUGAGUGCCUCGUGCUUACAGAAGAAUCCCAAUCGUGGGUGACUUAGAAACUCCCCUGUAUUUGGAAAAUAAUAAUACCUCGAGUGCUUUUUAUUUAAGUCUAAUGACAAAGAGCUUAUUUCGUUCUCUUAUGUAAUCUCUACUAAAGGAAUCACUAACCUAUCAAAUGUUAAGCCACAUAGGCUGUGG